GAUGAACGCUAGCUACAGGCUUAACACAUGCAAGUCGAGGGGUAACGAGAGGAAAGCUUGCUUUCCUUGUCGACGACCGGCGCACGGGUGAGUAACGCGUAUCCAACCUGCCCCCAACUAGGGAAUAACCUUGCGAAAGUAAGACUAAUACCCUAUAAUUUCCUCAGAUGCCAUCUGACGAGGAAUAAAGAUUUAUCGGUUGUGGAUGGGGAUGCGUCUGAUUAGCUUGUUGGCGGGGUAACGGCCCACCAAGGCAACGAUCAGUAGGGGCGCUGAGAGGAAGGGCCCCCACCUUGGAACUGAUACACGGUCCAAACUCCUACGGGAGGCAGCAGUGAGGAAUAUUGGUCAAUGGGCGGAAGCCUGAACCAGCCAAGUAGCGUGCAGGAUGACGGCCCUAUGGGUUGUAAACUGCUUUUAUACAGGAAUAAAGUUAGCCACGUGAGGUUAUUUGUAGGUACUGUAUGAAUAAGGACCGGCUAAUUCCGUGCCAGCCGCCGCAGUAA
rnacentral:rRNA from 1 species